rnacentral:rRNA from 1 species
GACGAACGCUGGCGGCGUGCCUAAUACAUGCAAGUCGAACGAGAGCGACCGGUGCUUGCACUGGUCAAUCUAGUGGCGAACGGGUGAGUAACACGUGGGUAACCUGCCCAUCAGAGGGGGAUAACAUCCGGAAACGGAUGCUAAAACCGCAUAGGUCUUCGAGCCGCAUGGCUUGACGAGGAAAAGAGGCGCAAGCUUCUGCUGAUGGAUGGACCCGCGGUGCAUUAGCUAGUUGGUGAGGUAACGGCUCACCAAGGCCGUGAUGCAUAGCCGACCUGAGAGGGUGAUCGGCCACAUUGGGACUGAGACACGGCCCAAACUCCUACGGGAGGCAGCAGUAGGGAAUCUUCCGCAAUGGACGCAAGUCUGACGGAGCAACGCCGCGUGAGUGAAGAAGGUGUUCGGAUCGUAAAACUCUGUUGUUAGAGAAGAACAAGUGCUAGAGUAACUGUUAGCGCCUUGACGGUAUCUAACCAGAAAGCCACGGCUAACUACGUG